rnacentral:sRNA from 1 species
UGGGAGAGGGUUGGGGUUCAAUUCCCCAUACCUCCAGAAUCUUUUUUACCUUAU